CCGAGCCGCCGCCGCCGCCCGCCGCGGGCAGCAGCGCCGUGAGGGGCUGCCCCGUUCCCGGGCCCUGCCGUUACCUGGGAGAGCCGGGGGUAGAUGCCGAUGCUGUCUGGACAUGCCUUGUGGAAAUGAGCUUCUCUAUGGGAUGGAGGACCACAUGCUGCCUUUGGAGAAAAGCAAGGCCAGGAUUACUGCUCCCAGAAGAACUGAAAUAGCUAUUUACCCACAGCAAGAAAAUGUUAUUUUUGGGGCAAAAGGGAGCUGUAAUGUUUUCCUGUUACAGUAGUUGGCAGCAUUUCUCUAUAGCCCAAACAGUUCUUUCUUUACUCUUUGCUGUAAGUUUACUAGAGGGAGAGACAUAUAUGAGCAAUUCUGUAACUCAAACACAAUAUACUGACAGUAAGACAGGUUUAAACCCUGGGAGACUAUCAGGAUGGAGUGAAGGAAGAGUGGGACCCUGAACCAAGUGCCUGAGCUGAGAGGAUACUGGUGGCUACAGAAAUGUUGCAUGUACAGUGAUUUUCAAAGCACAGACUAUUUGGAAUAAAGUAAGGACAUCUCUUGCA